GAACAACUCUUCCAGGGGCAGUGGCCGGCCUCCCUGGGCAGCAGGGGAUUCCAGCAAGUGUAGCAAUUGAUUUCUCAGCUACAGGUGAUUCCAGCUCUUGUGAUUCAGCUCUUUGUGAAAUCACCCAAGGUGAACUCGGGGACAGAGAGACGGGAGCCUCGUAUGGCAAUUCCACAGAGGCAGCUUUUAUUGUCCAGCAGCCCCCGUGAAGGGAAGGCCAGGGACAAGGGCUCCCUGCCUGGGGCAGAAACAGGGGCUUUUAUGGGAAAGGCAGGGGGUGGGGUAGAAACCAGUGAGCCAACUGGGCACAGGCUACCAUCAUCUAGAAACAAGGCAUGCUAGGGGUGGUUCACUUUGUCACCGUGACCUGAGGAAGAUUGCUUAUCUCUGGGGAGAGUCUUUUUGGCCUCAGGCCUCUCUCCUCCAAGGGAGUGCAGAGGGCUCUUGUGCCAAGGGCUCACAGCCCUCCACAAUGGGACAUCUGAGAACUUUUAAAUGGUGCUGAAACAAGGGACAGUUGUGAAAAAUGAUGCUUGCUGAUGGUGUUCGUAUCCCUUUAAAAAAUACAUUUAAAACUUGUGUGUCUUUUGGGUACUUGUCUAAGCACAUGGAUAAGGGAAAGAAGGGGUUCCCUGUUUGCAAGGAAAAUGCUUUCUGGUAACUGGUAGGUGCAAGGGAUUCAGAUGUGUCCUGUAGGGAGUUACAAGGAGAGUGACAAAUCCAUGGCCUUGAAAGGUCCUUGACAAAUCAGAGCCAUGGCUUGACUGGGAUGUAAGAGAAACCUGUAAUGUUCUUUCCAGUCUUGAAACCUGAGUCUGAAGGCUACAGAAGCCUUGAAAUAAGUUUCCAUCAACAGCCAGGCCAAUUCCAGUUACAGCAAGGGACAGUCAGAAGAACCCAGAGAUGGAAGACCACUCAGUUACCAGGUACACUCUGUUUGAAUGCUCUGCCUGAUACAAAGCAUAUUUGUGGUGUAAAUGAGCCUUCCAUGACCCUCUUGACCUCAGCAGCUUCAUCAUGACCAGCAGCAGUGAGAGACUCUGACUGAGGCAGCCUGGCUGGGAUCCCUGCUAAUGGCACUGCUUUCCCCUAAGCCAGCUUGGUGACAGCAUCACUGGAGGGCCCACUCAAAACUUCCUUAAUUCCUGGAUGCUACCACAUUUGAAGGUGAUACAAAAUCCCUAAAUUCAGAAGCAAUUAAACCUUAACACCUUUUGUGGAAGAGUUGUGUCUUUAGCUUGCAGCAUCAGAGGAUGAAUGCUGUUUUCAGAAGGGGAACUAGUCCAUAUUUGAACUACUCCAUGUGGAUUUAACGGUGCCAUAGAAGUGAUGGCAGAAUCACACCUUCUCUCCCCUCCCCCUGACUCUUUUGUAAUGCAUCUCUGAAGCAAAGCUUACUAAGAAAAAAAAAUCAAGUGCUUAACUUUGAUCUUCAUGAACAAGAAAUUAGAAAAAGACAAGACAUAUAGGACACUUACAGUAAAACUUCUUCCUGGUUAAGUUUGAUUUUCUGCAAAUGUUUUGCUGUUCUUUGAAGCCCCAUUUUACUGCAGCUGACGUUGGAUUUCUGUAAAUCCAUACCCACAGUUUUACGCAUGAGUGAGGGAUGUGUGAUGAAGGGUGAUGGACGAAGCCACGGGACCAUCUGGAGAGCAGCUGCCACCUCACUGCUCUGAGCCAGGGUGGCUCUGAUGGCCAGACCUGGCUGCCCACUGCACCCACCUGCCCUGAGGACUGGCCUCUCCUCCACAGGCCCUGGGCAGUCCCCAGACAGGGGGCUAGAAGGCUGAGACCCCUUCCCAGGACAGCUCUGCCUCAAUUUGGUGUGUGCUGCUAGCCCAGUGGCAUCACCAUCUCACUGGAGAGUGACGCUAACAGCUCCUUUCAUGCCUGGUUUAUUUAAGGCAAAACCUACACAUUAACAUGGAAACUAACAUUUUUUUAUUUUUCUCAAUCUAUAUUGUCUGUUUUUCCCAUCUGUGCUCAGUAUCAUUGAAGCAUAGUCCUGUCAUCUGAACUUGACUUAAAAUGUUAGCAUUUGGACAGGAGGGUAUUAGAGAAGCUCUGCCUCCUUCUGCUCACCUCUGUUAAUAAUUUGCUCUAUGCCUUUUAUUUAAACUGGAUAUGUAGUAAGAUGACAGAUGUGCUUUGUGUGAAUGGAUUUCUCUCAAACAGAAAUAAUCAGCUGUCACAUGGCUCAAGCACUGUAGCAGGGACCGAAAGAGGAGUUUCAGGAGAAAAAUACAUAUAAAAAAACAAAUGGAGAGAUUGAAGCAAAAAUUCAUUCUGUGAGAAACAGUGUCUAUGUUUUGGAAAAGAAAAAUAGACAGAAAUUGUUGCACCUGGAGGUUUGAGCAAUCUUUUCUACUAUUUUUUGUGACACUGUGACAAGCAAGGAGUUGGCGGAGAUGGGGAGGAUUUAUGGAAGCAGGUGGGACAAUGUUGCAUGGUGCUUCCAGACUUGUUCUGUUGCAGGCCUUGAGCAGGGGGGAUCUUUAGGGGGCUGUACUCUGGUGUUGGUAACCCUACCCCCAUCUACCCUCAGGAAAGUUAAUUGCCUUCCUUUUCUGCUGCGGCAGUGACAGGCUCACACCCAGCGAUGAAAUGCCUUUGGUACGUUGCCUACUGUGUAAUCAAUAGCAAGGAAAUUCAAUGUGCUUGCAGUGACAAGGGGCAAAGUAAUACUUAUGGGAAGGGAAGGAAAGGUAACAGCUGUAACACCCCUGGCCUCCUCUCCCCCUGGCUGUGCUUGCCUACAGGAUGCCCACAGAAGAAAAAUGCCUGAUUGAAUAAUGUUUGCACAGAAACCAGCUGUAAAUCCCUUGGGCAGCACAGUUAGGAUGCAGUUUGUCAAGUGUGUCUUUUGUGAUUGUGGUUUAACAAGAGCUCUGCUGAUGUGUUUUUCAUCUAGCAAAAACUACAUUGCCUUUUUUUCACCCUCUGUUAGAAGACUGGCUGUGAGGAUUGCACUGAAUUGUUGAAUAAUCUCUGCUAAUGCAUAAGCAAUAUGUGCUGACUUACUUCAGGGUUGGUCCUAUUUCUUACUGAAAAACAUUUCAUAUUUAUUAGGUAAAGUAAAAAAAAAACUAUUAGUAAAGACUACAAUUCAAUACAGGGCUUCACUUUCAUUUUGCUGCUCUAUUUCCGCUCAUAAUAACGUAAAUUGGUCACUACCUUCUUAAAAAAAAAAAAAAAAAAACAAAAACCCAACAACAAAGGAUGUGCACAAUAUCCCACCAGAAACCUCUCACAAAAGAUUAAUUGCUACUUGCAGCACAGAACUCCUGCUGAUUAAGGAGGAAAAGAUUUGGUGGUGGAUUCAGGCAGACCUCUGGGGAAAAGACCUAAAUUUUAACACAAGCAUCAAGAUGCCAUCUUGAAGAGGUGGGAUGAGGGUCCUUAUUGCAAUACUCAUGUUUUCUCAUGUUGCUUUAACAUGUUCCUGUAGCUUUUACCACAAACAUUUCCUACAAAACCAUCUAAAUCCUCAGACACAGCUGGACAUACCUCCUAUCAAAUGUAGUAGAAUACAGCUGACCUGCAGGCAGGGUAAUGAGGAAGUUUGAUUGGGUGCUUAAUUAUGAGCUUCUUAAUUUUGCAAUUGGUGCAAAAUGGGUCUGCUGCCUUGGAAGGCAAGGUGCCACAGGUGGGUUUUCCACCUAUCUGCCGUGCUCUCCCUCCAACACAGACCAGCUGUGUGGGUGAAAACCAGGUUGGAGAAGCAGCUCUUAUCCCAUGGCUCAUAGUCCUGUGCUCCUGUGUGGCACUAAGCUUGCCCAUGCACUGCAGGUUACUUACCCUAUCAGCCCUUUUUCUUUAUAGCUGUGUUUGUAUCCGAGUUGCCUGGCUAUAGCUUGCUUUGUUUACCUAUAAAAAUAAAAUCGUAUUUUAAAACUAUCUGAACCUUAGAAAGUUGGUGGCUCUUUUUGCUCCUCAGAAUUUGCAUAGAUGGGUAAAUAAACAGCCAUAGGCAUGUAAAGAGUUCUUGUUCAAAACAACCAAAAAGCCUUAAGUAUCUCAAAUAUCUGAAAAUUUAACAUUUUUUCAGCUUUUUUUUUUUUUUUUGGUGUGAGUAAUAACAUUUACAUAAUCAGAGAAGAAUCUGGUGACUACAAAGUCUUUUGUUCAUGACAUCAACGCUGUCAGAGAGAAAGAUGAAAGAGCAGCUUUUUAAGAUUUUACUGAGAAGCUGUCAGAGAACUAAUCCAUCCUGAGUUGGAAAUGUCUCUUGAAGAUGCAUGCUUCUUUCCAUUACGGCGUGGUCAAAUGCCAGCCUGUUCCUUUGAGGAUUCUUUUGAAGAUUCUAAGCUAGCUAGUAGCUUGAUUUUACUCUUCCCCGACUUCUUUUUGCAGCAGAUUAGGUCAUUGAAAGCUAUGGGAACUUAGAUAUUAGAAAAAUAGAGCACAGUGUUUCAUUAUUCUGUAUUCUCAAGACAGAGCUAUUUCUUCAGUCCUGAUGCAUUUCUGCACACUGUUUAGCAGCAGUGCUUUUAGUGUAGCAGACCUGCGAGGAAUGGAGGGUGAUGGAGGAGGAGAUGAAUACUGAUGAAAUUGCAUCAAAGAAGAGCUCCGUGCAUUGCAGUGUUAGUGGUGUGUGCAUGUGUCAUUGACUUGUGCAUUUUCUGUGGUUAUCUGUAACAUGUCCUUAGAGGUGUAAAGUGUACAGCUGUAAUCCAGACCAUAUCACUGAUGUUACUGCAUUUUUUGCAUUUUUUUAUGGUUGGAACAUGAGUUCAAGGAGGACUGAACAGUAGCUGCAGAGUGUGAUGGAGACAGUCCUUCAAACUGUUUUCAUAUCACAAGCUUAUCAGAAAAUUCUGGCACUGGUGAAAGUUCAUACUCAGUGAUGUGUAAUGGCCCUUGUGCUCCACACUGAGCAAGUGUGUCUUCUUGCAGAUUUCCUCAGACCUACUUGGUUUUAGGUGGUGGACCUACCAAAAAUCUUAAAUAUAGGAACACUUGGCUUUUGAUCCCUCUAUGGUCCUUGGCCAAGUUAAGCUUCAAGAAUGUGGAGAUGUUGGAAACACAGGGACCCAGGACAACAUUUAUGGAAAUCAGCAGACCCAGUGUGCCUCUAAAUUGAGUAUGUUGAAAAAGAAAAAACUCACUCCCCAAAACAACUCUUCCCCUCCCUGCUUUUCCACAAAUUUCCCACAUCAUCAGGCUGAAGGCAGGCACAUACUCCUUGGCUUGGAGUCCUCAGAUGUGAGCCUCUUCUGUGUCUCCGAGCAAGAUUAGUCUCUCCCUCAUUUAACAAAAAUAUUUCUGCCAAACAUCAAGAGAAGAUUUGUACCCAGGUAUCAAAACAUCUUUGCAUGCACAGUAUUUGGAUCUAAAAGGGCGGGAGGCAUGUCUGCCAUUUGCAGAGAGAAAGAACAAAUCCAGCUUUGACAUGCAAAUGCUGGCUGUCUAGAAAAAAGCCCCAAACAAGCACUGCUAUCCAGAUUCAAAACUUCUGUGCCCAAAUGUCUUCUGUGUGUAGUUUUGCCAGCUGUACAGUGCCUGCAAGGUUAGAGCUCACAAGUCAGCAAGGCAUAAAAGUCCCAAGUGACGAACUCAAGCUGAAAUAUGAAGUGAAGCGUUAGGUCACCUGGGAAUUAGGGAAUAUCUAACUUGGAGCAUUUUGUUACUGCAGGCCAUGAAGUUUGAUAGGGUAGGAUGUGCCUGCAUGGCUAAACUGGGCAUCUCAAGAAUAUGGAAAUGCUGUGAUCUGCCAUUUAAAGUGGUCCUUGUGCACCAGUGUCCUUUGGGACCUUGUGAGAAGUCUUAAUCAACUAAAUCCUUUCAACAGCAAAUCUUUUAACUGUACUUCUAAACUGCAGAAAAUGUAGGACUGUACAAAGGCCCUGAUCUCCUUCAAGGUUCCUUUCAGUAGCCUCAUUCCUACUUCACUGCUGUGACACUUCAAAGCAGGAAAUCUGAUGACCCCGUGCUGCUCAGUGUUGGGCAGUUGCAGGUUUUCAAACAACAUAUCUCUAUUAUUUGGAGGCCGGGCAUCACUGAGCGGAACAGAUUUAGCUGCAGUAACCUUUUCUAAAAUUAUCCUGCUAAUAAAUUAGCCUCAGCAGAAUUGUACCAGACCUGUGUGCAAUCCCACACUGUGCUGUCUUCUGUUCCAACACACACUGGGGAAAUUCAGGGGACAAGCUUUGGACUUACACCUCAUCCAUUCAUGAUUAUUGGGAGAUGGCGGGGAAAACGCCUCAAAGAGUUUGUAAAAGGGAACAACUGUAUUCUGUUAGGAAAAAAUCGACACAGGUACCUCAGUCCCACUUAGGAACCUGAGCUGUAAAUUGCUUUCUUUGCUAUAAACUCCUUCUUCAGUCAGGCCCCAAGUCUUGCAAAUCACAGUGCUGUACCAGUGUGCAGAGUGCUUAACAACACCAUGUAAGGUGCAGGUACCCAAAAUCCUGUCUUUCUACCUGGUUUUGGGCCUUCAGAGAAGGUGCAUCUGCAGCAGGGAGUGCUAGGUAGUGGAAGAAGUUCUUCAAAUAGAGGUAUUCAUACUUUAUGUUACCCACAAGAUCUCAAAAUGUUAGUUUAUAUUUUUUAAGGCAUAAUAAUGUUCUCAUAACAAAGUUCUCAGCCUGUUUCACAUUUCCUUUCCCUUCUGUCCAAGGUUACUCCUUGCUUCAAUAUCUUCUAACAUGCAAACAAUAAACAAAAGUAAUGCAAAACUGGGAGGAUCAUAGAGAUAUUAUCACCAGAAAUUUCCAAAAGAAUCAAAUAAAAUUGGGGAUCCCCCGCUGUGUGAAAUAGAGAAUUAUGGAUUUUGUCUAUUCCUAUGUUACUAGAGUUGGUCUUCCACUUGAUUACAGAAGCAAAUGAGAAAAACAACUUGUAAAUAUCAAAUAAAAUGAGACAGCUUGAUACAAACAUUUUACAUUUAUUGGAAGAGUACAGUAAAAAGGGGACUGCAGACUCAUUAGUGGUAACUGGUCCAAAGGAGAAGACACAGGACUGUUUAAAAAAGGUCUGCAGUUUACGAGAAAACUGAAAAUCUGUUAUAUAACAGCCCAGGAAAAUAAAAAGUUAGCUUGAGUUCUAAAGUGUAACUUUAAAGUAUAUAAAAAUUGGCAAAUAAAUAAAGUUAAAAUGCAGAUCUAUUUAAAAUUAUAAAGGACCAACAACUGGCAACUGUAUAACAUACUUAUCAUUUUCAGACUUAAUUAAAAGCCAGAUAAACUCACAAAUGUUGUUUCUUUUUUAUUUUAUUUUACAUGUAUACUUAGGGAAGAAGCACCCACUUCCAGUGUUAUGUAUUAUCGAUCUGUUUCACAAAUAUAUUAUUUUUAAACAACAAAGAGCAUAAAAGGUGCUUUACCUGAUAUUAGACUCGCUGGUGCAUAUUUUGGCACAAAAUUGAGACUUGAGUAGAUACCUAAAGACAUCUGCAAAUGGUAUCUGUGCCCACUCAAGGCAGCUGGUGUCAAGUCUUGCUUCUGACGGCAGGUCAGUGAUGUGAAUUUCCCACCUUCCCCAACACCCCUGCUCUGUCUCCAGCUGCCAACAGUUACACAUAGGAAAAGCAACACAUGCAGUUUCAAAAACAGCAGUCCUACAACCCCAGCCCAAAUUUCAUCCCCAAAAGUCACUUGAACACGUAUGUAACUAUUCAGUCCUUUAACAGAAGGUACAAGGCAGGUGUUUUAAUGUUGGCUUUCACGCCCCAAAAUUUCUCUGUAGGAGUCUGCCUGCCUUUUGUGUCCUGUGUGAUGAGCCUAUAUCAUGGGGUUUUCCCUAUCACGUUUUCAGCGUUUUAGUGAAAAUUAGAUGGGAAGCUUGGUGGAAAAACAAGUUAGCUUGUGAUUUACGGGUAAUGGUACAAUUAACCAUGGAAACAGACAUGUUAAGCCGUAUCAAUUGAGACCCAGUGCAAGAUCAGUUCCCUGUACACAACAAUAAUGCAUACCUUCUGGAAUUGGAGGUCUCAGCACUUCAUACUGGGGGGGGGGGGGGUGUAUAAUUACCACUAUAAGUAAAUGUUGCAUGACACAGUGAAUUCAAAAUUUUGAAAGCAAAAUGAUGAGAAUUAACACUAUCUGAAAAGGUCUGUUAAGAAGAAGGAAAUUCACAACAAGGCUUAGGUGGAAUUAAGUCACUGCUGUUGAUUUUGAAGACGCUGUUCUAAUUUGGCCUGAUAGCAAAAUGUCAAGGAGCGUAUUUAGCUUUAUAAUUCGCCCUGUGUGGAGCAGGAUGUUCUGCACUGUACACUAGGCAGUCAAGAAUGUGGUUUCUCUGAUGUAUUUUAUGAUGUGGACAACUCAUAAUAUAGCUAGGAUAUGCAACUUCAUUAAAAAUGUGAUUUGAACAAUGUGCUUCACCUUGAUUCGCAGUUACUUCCAUUUUCAUACAAACACAUUGCCCUAGGUGUAACAUCACUACAGUAUUUCUGAGUUGAACAAAAGCAGGAGUGUAUUUGGACUUUUCUGUCACCAGAAUAACAUUUUUUGGUAAGUGAAAGGGCGCCACCUGUGGUACACGGAGCCUUCAGAAUUAGGAAGUAUUUGGGAGAUUCAACAGUACAGAUUAUUACAGCAGAGCUCAGCUGGAAGUGUAAGCUUACUGCAGCCCUCUUUAGAGAGCAGAAAGAUUCUUUGAGAAUUGAGGCAACAGCUCAGAGUUAAGUCAUUAACAUAUCAGUAAUCCAAGAAUUUUACAUUGCUACUUGCAUUAACAAUUAUGGAAUUCUUCAUAUGUUGAGAAAGACUGAGCUGACUGAAAAGAGUACUGUGCAUCUUUUUUUUAGUAAUGGAAAGUUCUGGCUCAUACUUUCAACAUCUGUAAUGUAGAAGGAAUCACUGAUCUGAUUUUUCUUUUAAAAAGCCUAAUUGCCUUAUAUUGAUGAAAAGUUUCAAUGGCUGGCUUGCCUACUGUAUUAAAACUUAAAUUAAGUACUUAUCUACAAACACUUUCAUUUCUAAAACUAGAUGAUGGUUCCAAAUAGUAGCAAUUCAGGAUUUUUUCCAAGCAUUCUCUGCUCAAUGUGAAUCCUAGGUUAUCAUACUGGUUCAGAGGAUGUAUUUAUCUAUAAACACAAAACCAAUUAACUCAAGUUGUAUUUACAAAGCAUUUCAUUCUGGGAGAUAGAGGAAGAAAGAAUCUAGUUCAUGGCUCUUCUAUGUUUUCAAUUUAUGACCUCAGUCAACUCUAUUUGAGCGUUUUAUUUAUCCAUUUUUUGUAAGUAUGCCUAACAGUUUUUCAUUUGGAGAAGGCAUAUGGAUCUGAGCUCUCUAAAUGAACUACCCUCCCAUAACUACAAUCUCAAACAGCUGCAAAACAACAAUGCUUGUAGCUAGUGACCUGAUUAGUCUUUUAUCUCACAAACCACCCCCCCAACUAAACCAUCUGAAAAUUCUAAUUUAAUUCCUGCCUAGAUGAUGCCUGAGAAAAUGGUGCUCUGAAACCAUAAUAUAGCCAAUAAUAUACAACUGCCUGAAAAAGAAACAACUCUUGGAGUUAACAUCCAAGUUCUAUACCUGGACAUAUGUUCCAGUUGAAAUUUUGUAUCAAAGAGAAGGGGACAUAAUGGUAACUAAGGGUUGUUGGUGGAGGUAGCAUUCCUGGGAGAGAACAGUAAACACAUCUUUCUGUUUUAUAGAGUAGUUGUAAGGCUGAAAUACAGAAAUUGCUUUUGCUUAUUUGACAGAGAAGCAAAAUCAAGUUGGAUUCUAGGGUUAAAGCUGUGAAAAUUUAAAGUCAGAAGCUUCCAGCUCCUAUUCUAUUUGGUACUUAUUAUAAUGAACACAAUGACUCUGCUAAGUGAAUGUGAAAAUACACAAAAAUGUUGGAGCUACCAGGCAGAUCUUGCUGGACUUUUCAAUGAGAGAAUCUUCCCUUCUUUGAUCUAAAAGUAAAGUCGGGUAUUAAUAACAUACUAAUAGGCAAUUCUGCAAUGCAUGUAGGAGCUGGAAAUCGCAAUUCAGUACCACUUUGAGUACAGAAAUGGUAGCAAUACUUGACUGUUCAUAAUGUGGCAACUGAAAGGAUUCUUCCAUUUCAACUUGGAGCUUUCCACCUUUAAACUUUAUUUAUAAUGGGAAGCUACCCCAGGGAAGAGCGACUCUUAAAAAAUCUUGAUAGGCUCCUCAGUUUGAUUCACUUUCCUAGUAAGUUGUUACUAAUGAUUAAGGACAGGACUGCUUUUUUGUUUUGUUUUUCAGUAAAUCUGCAGAAGGAAACUGGAAGAAAGCAUUUUUAAUUGAGCUGAUAUUUCAAAUUUACCAGAUCUCUUAAAAACUCAUGGUUGUUUGGAACUUCAGGAAUACUGGACUUGCCCUUUACCUUCUAAUUACUAAUUGAAGUAAUUGCUGGAAGUGAAGGACUGCAUGAAAACCAUUCUAAGAAGAAAAAAUGCAUAACUUCACUGCUAGCAGGGGUAUUGUUCCCUGACCUGCCUAGGAAGAAUGCUUCCAACAAUAUCUGAAGUCCUUUUGUGGUUUAGGGGGAAAAAAAAUUAAUUGGUAAACUCUUCCUUGAACUGCAAACUACUUAAUGCUUAGCCAUAAAAAUGUUACAAAUCCAAGUGCACUGGCUAACAAAUAUUUCUACUGCCUACAAACAGGGCAGCUGUUACAGAAAGUGGACUCUUUCAGCUUCUUCCCCUUUAUUUAAUGUUUAUAAUGCGUUAUUGUUUGUGACAAUCAAUUAUUUUCAGAACUGUUGCUUUUGAAUACCAUGUUUGAUGACACUAUUUACACACUAGGUUAGGUCUUAAAAUAUUGCACUCUCUCAAGUCUGUGAGUAGCACUGACAUUUAGAGGAUAUGACAGCAAGAAUACUGGAAACAGGGCCAGUAUUUAAUCACUGUUAAUAUUUGUGCAGCAGCACAUCUGGGAAAAUUGGAGGGGAGACAUUUUUAAAUGCUUCUGAGACUUGGUUACUCCAUAACCUUGGAAAAAUGUGGGGUUUUCUUCUUUUUUUUAUUAUCUUUACAAUGGCUGCAAAAAGGGUAACAAAAUAGUUAUAAAGAGGUAAAAAAUGGGUAACUUCAUAGUCAGUUUUAAUGAUGUGCUUGUAGGAUUAAAGUAAGCCUAACAGGUGGUCAAAGACAUGGAUGAAAAAGUACUUAAGUAUGAAUAAUCUAAUAUUUCCUUAACCUGUUUUGUCUUUCCUGUCACUAAGAAUGGGCUUUACCAGCUGCAGUUCUUACUGAUGGCCUUCUGGUGAUGCACUCCUCAAUAACAAUUUCCAAAAAAGUUUUGGGCAACUCUGCAAAAAGGCAUAUUGUUGUUAAGAAGAAAUGCAAUUUAACUGUAGUUGAUAAAUGAGAAGCUAAUUUACUGGUUUUCACAAAAACUAGAGAAAAUGCACAUUUCAAAGAUAAUGCCUUAGUGGGAUGCUAACUCUACAACACCACCUUUUGCUGAAGCAAGGUUUGUUUUCAGAUAAGAUACUUUUCACUAUUUUACAUUCCAUAAAAUAAAGAAGCUUAGGAAACCUUAUGAUUUCACUGAUGACUGGACUUGGAAGCUAGUAUGUGAUUAUUUUCUACUAAAAACAAACUAAGGAUGCUUUUUUUGCUGUCAAAGCAAUUUUCUUAAAAUAAUGAAUGCAAUUCCUAGGAAAAACAUGAAAUUAAGAGAUAACCGGUUGAAUUCCAUCUCAUGUUACAAGCUGAGGGUAACAGUAUUUAGAGUUUCCUAUGUUUAACAGUGUAAAAUAAUUCAGGUUUCCCUCAGGGUGCCAGUGUAACAACCUAACCUGAAAUCCAUACUUGCAAAAGAGACUUAAUUUUAACUUCUUUGUUAAGUUCUCUAUGGCAAACAUGGUACAUCAGCCAAAUGACCAGGAUCUGGCUAACCUGGUAGGAUUAACCUGACAAGAUUAAGUCAUCAAAAGGCCAUGCAGAGAAGAUAUUGCAGCUUUGCUUCUUGAGUGCCAUGUCUUUCUUUCAAAUUUCAUGGUAUGGCAGGCUUGGUUGUGAAUGCUCCUGUGAGAAGCCUACAGUAUCUAUAGGUAUGGAUUCCACUUCCUAAGUUGAAUAGUUUCAGCAAUUGCAAGUCAGACACGAUGAACAAGUUCUGCCACAAACUGUUAAAUUAAUGACAUGAAAAGUUUAAAUAGUUUAAAAGACAUGUACCUGUGUUGACAUUUAUUCUAUACCUAUAAAGCCAUUCUGGUAUUCUCCCAAAGUAUUACUAGUUUUGAACUGAACUGAUGCCUACAUCAGGAACAGUAACAGAUUUUCUGAAAGCUGUAGAAAUCCCCUGUUUUAAAAAGACUUUAAAUAGAACUGUGGUACAUAUUUGUGGAGGUUAACUAUUUCAGAAAAAAAUGUUAGUACUGUUUUUAUCCUUCUGCAAGAGUCUGGAUGGUGCUUGGUUAAUCUGUGACAAAUAAAACAGUAUUUUAUUUUAUCAGAA